UACCACCGUUGCGUCGGCCAACAGGAGGCCGGGGCCUCCAGAUCUGGCACCUACCCCGGCCUCCCCGCUGGUGGAUCCGGCUGGCCGGA
rnacentral:pre_miRNA from 1 species